rnacentral:tRNA from 1 species
GGAUUGUGGCUUAGUGGUAGAGUGCUCACUUAGCAUGGGUGGGACUUGGGUUCAAUUCUCAGCACCA